CCUACGGGAGGCAGCAGUGGGGAAUAUUGGGCAAUGGAGGCAACUCUGACCCAGCAAAGUCGCGUGAAUGAUGAAGGUCUUCGGAAUGGAAAGUUCUGUGAUGGGGGAUGAACACAAUGACGGUACCCCAAUAGCAAGCCACGCCUAAAUACGUGCCAGCAGCCGCGGUAAUACGUAGGUGGCAAGCGUUAGCCGGAAUGAAUGGGCGUAAAGGGUGCGUAGGUGGUUUAGUAAGUUGGCGGUGUAAUUCCGGGGCUCAACCUCGGCGCAACCGCCAAAACUAUUAGACUAGAGUGCAGGAGGGGUAAGUGGAAGUCCUAGUGUAGCGGUGGAAUGCGUAGAUAGUAGGAAGAACAUCAGGGGCGAAGGCGACUUACUGGACUGUAACUGACACUGAGGCACGAAAGCGUGGGGAGCGAACAGGAUUAGAUACCCGAGUAGUC
rnacentral:rRNA from 1 species